rnacentral:misc_RNA from 1 species
GCUCCGUAGGUGAACCUGCGGAGGGAUCAUUACAGAGUUCUCGCCCUCGCGGGUAGAUCUCCCACCCACUGUUAUCGUUACUGUGUUGCUUUGGCGGGCCGCCGGGCCCCGCUCGGCCGCCGGCUCCGGCUGGCGCGCGCCCGCCAGAGGCCCAGCAAACUCUGAAUGUUAGUGUCGUCUGAGUACUAUAUAAUAGUUAAAACUUUCAACAACGGAUCUCUUGGUUCU